GAGGAGGAGGAGGAGGAGGAGGAAGAGGACGAGGACGAGGACGAGGAGGACGACGACAACUUUGAUUUUUAACAUGUCAUUAGAGGUGAGACAUUAUCACUGCAGAUUCUCGCUCUCUGACUUUUAUAUUAUGGAUAUUUUUCGACGGGCACGCCAUAGACGACACCAUUCAAGCAUUGGCCAGAUUGAUUCACCA